GCUCGGCUAGCCCAGUCAGUAGAACAUGAGCCUCUUAAUCUCAGGUUCGUGGGUUCGGGCCCCACGUAGGGCG